rnacentral:rRNA from 1 species
AGGUGCGAAAGCGUGGGGAGCAAACAGGAUUAGAUACCCUGGUAGUCCACGCCGUAAACGAUGUCGAUUUGGAGGUUGUGCCCUUGAGGCGUGGCUUCCGGAGCUAACGCGUUAAAUCGACCGCCUGGGGAGUACGGCCGCAAGGUUAAAACUCAAAUGAAUUGACGGGGGCCCGCACAAGCGGUGGAGCAUGUGGUUUAAUUCGAUGCAACGCGAAGAACCUUACCUGGUCUUGACAUCCACAGAACUUUCCAGAGAUGGAUUGGUGCCUUCGGGAACUGUGAGACAGGUGCUGCAUGGCUGUCGUCAGCUCGUGUUGUGAAAUGUUGGGUUAAGUCCCGCAACGAGCGCAACCCUUAUCCUUUGUUGCCAGCGGUCCGGCCGGGAACUCAAAGGAGACUGCCAGUGAUAA